GCUAGAGUAGCUCAAUUGGUUAGAGCGUGUGGCUANAGACCACAAGGUCAGAGGUUCGACUCCUCUCUCUGGCG